GACGAACGCUGGCGGCGUGCUUAACACAUGCAAGUCGAACGGAAAGGCCCUGCUUUUGUGGGGUGCUCGAGUGGCGCACGGGUGAGUAACACGCGAGUAACCUGCCCUUGACUUUGGGAUAACUUCUGGAAAAUGGGGCUAAUACCGGAUAGGAGCUCCUGCUGCAUGGUGGGGGUUGGUAAGUUUCGGCGGUUGGGGAUGGUCUCGCGGCUUCUCAGCCUGUUGGGGGGGUAGUGGCUUACCAAGGUUUUGACGGAUAGCCGGCCUGAGAGGGUUACCGGCCACAUGGGGACUGAGAGACGGGCCAGACUCCUACGGGAGGCAGCAGUGGGGAAUAUUGCACAAUGGGCGGAAGCCUGAUGCAGCAACGCCGCGUGCGGGAUGACGGCCUUCGGGUUGUAAACCGCUUUCGCCUGAGACGAAGCGUGAGUGACGGUAAUGGGUAAAGAAGCACCGGCUAACUACGUG
rnacentral:rRNA from 1 species